UCCACAUCACUUUGAAACACCGGUUUUCAUAUGAUCACACAAAGUUAAGCAACAUUGAGCCUGGUUAGUAUCAAGAUGGGUGAUCACCUGGGAAUGCCAGGUGG